GCAAAUUCCAGGCUCCUUUGGAAGAAUGACAAUGCUACAGAAAAGCACAUGGAUUUGCAGCUUCAUGGACAUCACCUGUGAGGGUGACAGCUCUUUACUCUCAAUUGAGGAAAGUGAAGCCAGGCUUACUGAGAAAAAAAAAAACAACAACAACCCUCAGAAAUCAAAAUUGGACAGCUAUACCCGGUCUGGCUGCCCCGGAGCGGGAAGACCCGAACCUUGGCAGGGCCAGCUGCUGUGCUGACCAGUUUGAUAUCAUGAAGAGAAGUGAUUUUCCGAUCCUGCAUCCGGUACAGCUGUGCGGACUCUGCUCUUCCUGCCAUUCCACCAUGAAAUUAAAAAGCAAUUUUCUUUUGAA
rnacentral:lncRNA from 1 species